CUACAAUAAUUUGAUUUUGCACCCUGGUGGAAGACACUUUUGAACUGUGAGUGCAGAUACACAGAGGAGCUUACUCGUGUGUGGAUGAUGAUAGAACUUCCUUCCCACAAUCAAGCUGUUACAAGUAGCGCAGCUACCAUGGCAGUAGCAUCCAGGUUUGGUUGCUGGUAUCCACGUUCGUGGCUGACAACUAUGUACUGGAUUAGUUUUAACAAGCCAAACCCUCAGGUUCUUUGCCCUUCUAUAUACCACCCUGGGGGGUGGGCCUUCCUGAAAUGGUAAAGUGCUGUCUGAGGCCAAUAUGUGCCAAUUUUUCAUGAUCACCUUCUUAGCCAUUGGUGAAGCUGGAGUAUACAUGGUAAUAAAAUUCAUCCUGGGAAUCACCUGUUUGUUCCUGCGUUCCAGUAUUUGGACCUGUGUCAAUGUCCAUCAUCUAUCUUGUUUAUAAUGUGUAAUGAGAAUGAGGAAGGGUAUACCAGUCCAAGAUAAGAGGAAAAGUUUUCCUUUUCACAGUUUGUGCUUGCAUUUUUUUUUUUUAUUAAAUCAUUUUUAUUUUGUUUUUAAACAGGUGUACAGAAAUAACAAUCCAAUAAAAGUUUCUACAUACAUCAAAUACAGUUUAACCGAAAUAUAGACUGUUGCAUCUUGAAACAGGGUGUACAGUGUGUGUGAAUUUACCAUAAGGUUCUAAACAUCAAUGGCCCGAUCAACAAACCUCAAAACAGUGUACAUAAUUCUAGACAUAAUAAUGAGUUUUUGUUUUUGCUUUGGUUUGAUUUUUAUUUUUACCUCUGUUCCCAAAUGUAUAACAUAUCUGCAAUAAAGUCUUGCUUUCCCAUAAA